GAGGCUCAUCAUCAUCAUCGCGCCUCUCAUAAGCCGGCUUCUCGUAGCCCUCCUCUUCUUGCCCCUCAUUACUUGGCCUCCCAUAACUAGGCCUCCUCGGUGGCUCCUCCACCUCCGGACUCUCGUAGCUCGGCCUCCCAUACUGUGGCUUCCUGGGGGACCCUUCCCCACCAUAACCAUACCCGCCACCUUGUUCCUCUCCGAAGCUAGGUUUCCGACCGUACCCAGAUCCAUAUUCAGAACUCGGUGCUUCGUACUCAGGCCUCCGACCAUACCCAGAUCCAUACUCCGAACUGGGCUGCUCGAACUCGGGCCUCCGACCAUACCCAGAUCCAUACUCCGAACUAGGUUGCUCGUAUUCAGGCUUCCGACCGUACCCAGAUCCAUAUUCCGUGCUAGGCUGUUCGUAUUCAGGCUUCCGACCGUACCCAGAUCCAUAUUCCGAGCUAGGCUGUUCGUAUUCAGGCUUCCGACCGUACCCAGAUCCAUAUUCCGAGCUAGGCUGUUCGUAUUCAGGCUUCCGACCGUAGCCAGAUCCAUAUUCCGAGCUAGGCUGUUCGCAUUCAGGCUUCCGACCGUACCCGGAUCCGUACUCCGAACUGGGUUCCUCGUAAUCAGGCUUCCGCCCAUGCCCAGAUCCAUACUCACCCUCCCCACCAAAACUCGACGGCGGCUUCGGCUGAUACCCAUACUCACCACCAUCACCACUGCCUCCGAACCCUCCUUGGCCAGGAGGUGGUCCGGCGUAACCAAGGACCGGACGAGGCUUGGGACGAGCAUAGCUCUUGUAUUCAUUCUCAAGAGCUUCAUCACCGUAAGCCGAUGGUUCAGAGCAUGAUGUGUAGCUUGGGCGAUCGUAGUCUAUAUCACCGGACUUCGAGGAGAUCGGAUAGCAAGUCUCCUCCGACGGCUCCAAAGGGCGGCCAUAGAUGACCGUGAUGUCGUAGCCUCCACCAUACGGGGUCGGAUCGUACUCAUCG
rnacentral:lncRNA from 1 species